AGCCCUCACCGGCUACGGAUUGUGUCUGCGUGUUUCAAUGAAAAUUCGCUGAUUUAGAGUAUGACCACUACAAGUUUGCCGAGUGCUGUUUGUUGUGCUGAGAAUAUUGGCCUGGGAAUGUAUGAGUAAAAACCAGACGGAAUAAGGCGAUUGCUACAGUAUUACAACUAAACAAGCUCUUGGUUCGACGCUGCGGUCUGUGUCCAUACAGGAGGACCGUCAUAUGCCAUCUUGGCCACUGUUUUUCCUGUGCCCUGUUUUUAGUAUUCAGUUGUGUGUGUGUGUGUGUGUGUGUGUGUGUGUGUGGGAGGAAGGCCCACUGUGUUGCUCAUUAGUCUUCAUCUGUGUGCGUUGCUGUAUGUUUUAUGUUUGUAUCUUGGGCCAUUGGGUUAGUGCAAUAUCCUGGGACAGGGAAUAACAAUUUUGUUGUGUGGUCACUGGUUUGCUGAGUGUAAAUUUAUUUUGUUUUCUGUGCAUAUGAUUUGUGAUGUGCCUUAUUUAUUCUGUAUUUGCUGAUUGAGGAUGCAGUUCUACUCUAUAUGUACUCAAGAUUAACAGGAU